UCUCAAUAAGCUGUCUGUGCUGGAGAGCUUUCAGGGAUAAAGUCCCAAAUAGCUGAAGUAUUGCACUGCGUGUUUUCCUCAGCCACAACUGAGAACAGCUGAGUGCACUGCAAACGAUGGCAGCAGAGUGGCAGUCUGACAGAAUGGCAUCUGACAUGGAAGUGCGUAUGAAGCAAAGAUGUCUCAUGGAAUUCCUGCAGACAGAAAAAAAUGGCACCCGUUGACAUUCACUGAUGCUUGUUGAACGUUUAUGGAGCCAAGCAGUGAAUGCGAGCACGUUAUGUCUCUAACAGAAGAGGACAUCCCUGACAGAGACUGUCAAAAGACUUGCUCUGUAAGUCUCGGUGCUGCUCUGUAAGUCUCGGCUUCUUCCCUCUGCCAAGAGAAGAUUCAUUUGUAGCAGAUCCCAGUGAAGGAG
ensembl:lncRNA